CCAAGCUCUGGGAGAGGUCUGCCUGCAGCACAGGUGACAGGAAAGCCAUCGAUGGUUGAGAUCUCCCAGGGAGAGGAGAGGAGACUGAGAAAAGCAGUGACAAGCAAGAAAAAGAUACACCUGGGCACAAUCUGAUAAACAGAUUGGGAGGAGCAGUGCAGCACUGUGUGAUUCACACUGCGAAUGAGGGGAAAAGGAGAGGUGGAGAGAGAAUGAACCUGGAGUCACAUGAAAUGCAGCCAGAUUGAGCCCUCUGACGCGAACGUUUCGGCACAUGCAAGGGAGUUUUGUGGAGGUUCUUAUUUCCCCCUCCUUGAGUCUGGGCUGGCCAUGUGGCUGUUCAACAACAGGAAGCAGCAGAAGUAUACUGUGCCGCCCGGGGCCCAGGCUUUUAGAGAACUGUGGCUUUCUCUGCCUUCUUCUUGGAAUCCGGUUACCAUGUUGAGAGGGGCCCAAGCCACAUAGAGGCCAACAGCCAAGUAUUUGCAGCCAUCUGGGUGAGCCAUGUAGGACAUUCCACACCAAUAAGACCCCCUGGAUUGCAGCAAUGGAGCAGACUCGUGGAGCAGACACAGCCCAGCGAAGGCCAGUAUCGCAGGUCAGAACAAAAUGUUUUAAGCCAUUAAAUUUUGGUGUGGCUUGCUGUGCAGCCAGAGAUAACUGAAAUAGGUGUAACUGAAAAGUCCGUAAGAAGGAAGAUUUACCUUGCUAACCAAUGCAGAAUCACAAAGCACGUGAAAUAACAUUUGCUGAGUCAGAAGACCACUGUCUGGAACAGGUGAUGACAUCCUUAGCCUUUAGUAGGUUUUGCCUUCAAAACUGACCCCGGCUUUCAAGCCUCUUUUUGAUGCUCAACACGGACAAUUUCAAAAAGAAAAAAUUUCACUUUAAUCCAGCCUCACCCCCACAUGUGUGUUUCACACAGACCAUCUUUUUAAAACAGAGUUUAUUGUAUUUAAUACAUUAUAAAAUUUGAAAAAUUGUAGGAAAGCAGCAGACUUGAACUGGAGCAAUUCUAACAAGGAAUAAUUCUGGCCCCUUGGCAAAACUGAUCAGUUUUAAAACAAAGUAAAGUUCACAUCUGUGAGGUGGACAAAAAAGUGUGACUUCUGUACAAACUACAUGUAAAAUUUCAUGUCUAACAUCUUUGCAAUGUGCUCAUGAGGGUUUUUCUGAAGUCCCGCCCGGUCCCAGCCUAAAGAGGGACGUGGAACCUCCAUAUACAAAAAAACUGGAUUCAAGGUGUUUGGUUUUUUUUUUUUUUUUU